rnacentral:rRNA from 1 species
GUGCCAGCAGCCGCGGUAAUACGAAGGGUGCAAGCGUUGUUCGGAUUUAUUGGGCGUAAAGAGCGCGCAGGCGGAUAGAUAAGUCAGGUGUGAAAUCUCGGGGCCUAACCCCGAAACUGCGCCUGAAACUGUUUAUCUAGAAUGUCGGAGAGGGAGACGGAAUUUCGCAUGUAGGGGUAAAAUCCGUAGAGAUGCGAAGGAACAUCAGGGGCGAAGGCGGUCUCCUGGCCGAUGAUUGACGCUGAGGCGCGAAAGCGUGGGUAGCAAACAGGAUUAGAUACCCUGGUAGUCCACGCCGUAAACGAUGAGCACUAGAUAUGGGGAUAUUGACCAUUUCCGUAUCGAAGUUAACGCAUUAAGUGCUCCGCCUGGGGAGUACGGUCGCAAGACUAAAACUCAAAGGAAUUGACGGGGGCCCGCACAAGCGGUGGAUUAUGUGGUUUAAUUCGAAGCAACGCGCAAAACCUUACCUAGGUUUGAAAUCCUGAGAAUCCUGCCGAAAAGUAGGAGUGCCCUUCGGGGAAUUCAGUGACAGGCGCUGCAUGGCUGUCGUCAGCUC